rnacentral:rRNA from 1 species
ACGGGGGGUGCAAGCGUUAUUCGGAAUCAUUGGGCGUAAAGGGCGCGUAGGCGGCCUCUUAAGUCAGAUGUGAAAGCCCGGGGCUUAACCCCGGAAGUGCAUUUGAAACUGAGAAGCUUGAGUAUGGGAGAGGGAAGUGGAAUUCCUGGUGUAGAGGUGAAAUUCGUAGAUAUCAGGAGGAACACCGGUGGCGAAGGCGACUUCCUGGACCAAUACUGACGCUGAGGCGCGAAGGCGUGGGUAGCAAACAGG